AUGCCUUACACAUGCAAGUCGAACGGCAGCACGGGGGCAACCCUGGUGGCGAGUGGCGAACGGGUGAGUAAUGCAUCGGAACGUACCCUAGGGUGGGGGAUAACGUAGCGAAAGUUACGCUAAUACCGCAUACGCUCUACGGAGGAAAGCAGGGGACCGCAAGGCCUUGCGCGCUUGGAGCGGCCGAUGCCGGAUUAGCUUGUUGGUGGGGUAACGGCCCACCAAGGCGACGAUCCGUAGCUGGUCUGAGAGGACGACCAGCCACACUGGGACUGAGACACGGCCCAG
rnacentral:rRNA from 1 species